rnacentral:ncRNA from 13 species
CCAACGGCCCUCUUUAGGGCCACAAUUAUCUAAGUAAUCCUAAAUUU